rnacentral:rRNA from 1 species
GAAGGGGUGCAAGCGUUAAUCGGAAUUACUGGGCGUAAAGCGCGCGUAGGUGGGCUUGUUAAGUCGGAUGUGAAAGCCCCGGGGCUCAACCUGGGAAUUGCAUUCGAUACUGUCAGGCUAGAGUAUGGUAGAGGGAAGCGGAAUUUCCGGUGUAGCGGUGAAAUGCGUAGAUAUCGGAAGGAACACCAGUGGCGAAGGCGGCUUCCUGGACUAAUACUGACACUGAGGUGCGAAAGCGUGGGUAGCAAACAGGAUUAGAUACCCUGGUAGUCCACGCCGUAAACGAUGAGAACUAGCUGUUGGGAAGUCUAACUUCUUGGUGGCGCAGCUAACGCGUUAAGUUCUCCGCCUGGGGAGUACGGUCGCAAGAUUA